rnacentral:hammerhead_ribozyme from 1 species
AUUCAGCUGACGAAUCCCAAAUAGGACGAAACGUGCGUCCUAGUU